GAUGCAUUCCGCUUCCCCGUCAUCUUCGAAUUUUCUUGGUGGAGAUUUGAGCGCUUGAGGGAAUAUCAUAUACCUCAGCGAUGCGGUGGUGCAGCUGCGGAAUGGUAACGCACGGUUGCACAGAGAAAGCGCGCCGGCAUCCGCGCAGCAAGCCGAAGCUACGGGUGCUCUUCGAGCCGAGGUGCGCGUUCUACGAGACAAGCGUGCCAAAGAGCGCAAGCCCUCAUCGCCCACUUUUGCUGCUGGGCCGUCGGCACACCCGUAACCAGGGCAACAACGAAUGCUGUGCGGACGGCUUCGCCGAAGACAACUGCCGCGCAUACCUCCUGCACUGGAUCGGCCUGCUUCGUCGAAGGCCCCCGCUGCUGACCAGUUGCUGUGCCUACCUGCUUCAGUGGACCUGUCACCUGCCACUCAGCCAACGUUGAAGUGAAAUUAACACUGAGGGCUCGCUGCUCUGACACCGCUGGUAUUAUUUGUGCUUCUCGCUCUGUGCGCCCUCGGGCUAUCUUUGUGACAAAGCUUGCGCUUGACACCCAUCGCUUGCCUAUCAGCAGUUUGCGCAAAACCCCUGUGCUACACUCGACUAAAAAUCAAGCACGAUUCCUACGCGUCAUUUCAUGUGUCUGUUAAUGAGAACUGCUAUCAGAGUAUAAGGAAUCCUUCACUGUGGCCGCGCUUUUGCUUCUACAAGCCCUUCAGAGGUGAACUUUAAUACCAUCAUACUGAAAAACGUUCAGCGAGAUGAAAAGAAGCAUCAGUGAUGUGAGACUUUUCUAUCAGAAUGUUCAUGGAUUACACACAAAGGCGAACGAAUUUUUCUCCAACGUCAGUUCAUCUUGUUUCACCAUCAUUGCCUUAACAAAGACCUGGUUGAGCUCUGAAA